rnacentral:rRNA from 1 species
AGAGUUUGAUCCUGGCUCAGGACGAACGCUGGCGGCGUGCCUAAUACAUGCAAGUCGAGCGAAUCGAUGGGAGCUUGCUCCCUGAGAUUAGCGGCGGACGGGUGAGUAACACGUGGGCAACCUGCCUGUAAGACUGGGAUAACACCGGGAAACCGGUGCUAAUACCGGAUAAUCCUUUUCCUCUCAUGAGGAAAAGCUGAAAGUCGGUUUCGGCUGACACUUACAGAUGGGCCCGCGGCGCAUUAGCUAGUUGGUGAGGUAACGGCUCACCAAGGCGACGAUGCGUAGCCGACCUGAGAGGGUGAUCGGCCACACUGGGACUGAGACACGGCCCAGACUCCUACGGGAGGCAGCAGUAGGGAAUCUUCCACAAUGGACGAAAGUCUGAUGGAGCAACGCCGCGUGAGCGAUGAAGGCCUUCGGGUCGUAAAGCUCUGUUGUUAGGGAAGAACAAGUACCGGAGUAACUGCCGGUACCUUGACGGUACCUAACCAGAAAGCCACGGCUAACUACGUGCCAGCAGCCGCGGUAAUACGUAGGUGGCAAGCGUUGUCCGGAAUUAUUGGGCGUAAAGCGCGCGCAGGCGGUCCUUUAAGUCUGAUGUGAAAGCCCCCGGCUCAACCGUGGAGGGUCAUUGGAAACUGGGGGACUUGAGUGCAGAAGAGGAAAGCGGAAUUCCACGUGUAGCGGUGAAAUGCGUAGAGAUGUGGAGGAACCCCAGUGGCGAAGGCGGCUUUCUGGUCUGUAACUGACGCUGAGGCGCGAAAGCGUGGGGAGCAAACAGGAUUAGAUACCCUGGUAGUCCACGCCGUAAACGAUGAGUGCUAAGUGUUAGAGGGUUUCCGCCCUUUAGUGCUGAAGUUAACGCAUUAAGCACUCCGCCUGGGGAGUACGGCCGCAAGGCUGAAACUCAAAGGAAUUGACGG